GGCAAGAUGGCCGAGCGGUCCAAGGCGACAGGUUAAGGUGUACCUUAACAACAACUUUACAAGUUCCUGUUCUUCAUUUGAAGGCGUGGGUUCGAAUCCCACUCUUGUCA
rnacentral:tRNA from 1 species